UUGAGGAAGAGGGAAAGAGAGGAUCAUGAAGGAGAAGGAUCAGAAUCCUGAGGGGAGAGAAUCCCUGCUGUGAGGUCAGUCUGGUUGUGCAGUCAGAGCCUGUUGUUGGAACCUGCAGCCACAGUCUAGCUGGGUAAAAGCCUGCAGUCAGAGUCUGCAAACUGAUCCCUGCAGUCAGAGUUUAGCGGGAAAUAACCAGCAGUCAGAGGCUGCCAGGGAGCCCUGCAGUAGGAGCUUGCUGCAGCCGGGGUCAGUGAAUGGUUGGAGUCAGCAUGGCUGAGCUGUAAAGAGGGAUAAACCAGGGCCCUUUUCAUGCUGUGAUAAGCAAGAAGUCUGUGUCUUGGCUCAUUUCUACCCUGUUACAAGAGCGCUGCUGCAACAGCUGGAUGGAUUGUGGUUUUUGUGUAUAUGAGAAACACCCGGAUCUAGGCAUCAAGAAAAUCUCAAUCGCUACUUUUUCAAUAGCAUAAAUCACACCACACUUUGUUCAGCUUAUUUUCUGGAAACAGUUCUUUGGCAUGUCCUUGAAAGCUUUGUUUCCUGCUGCUGAACUACAGUCUGCCUUGUCCACCUAAAAUGAGAAAAAUCCCCAGCAUGACAUCCAUUUAACUGAGCACACAGAGAAUUUCUCAGAAACUUGGACUCAGUCAACCCAGACGACUGGUGCUGUCCCCUGGAACAAAAUGGGUAUAAUUCUUGAACAACUUAGCAUGGGACACAGAAGGGUUUAAUUGUUGGAAAUACGUCCACUCGACUCCAAGGACUAGAAAUAAUGGCAUCAAGCUUUCCACAAGGAAAACCUUAUUUCCCUUUCCAAAAGCUCAUAGUCCCUUGAAGCAGGAAGACAUGCCAGAAGUAAAUAAUCUGAAGUUGAAGGAGACGGGUAAUCCUAUACUUCAUUCACUUGAUUCCAUACAGAUGCUGCCACGGGUGAAUGAUAUGAAAUAGUACACUGAAAUCUCUGUGAAGUCCUGCCAGAGAGAGAGAACUUCUGGAUUUCUACAACACUUUGAGCUUUCACUGCAUGCUGUGUCUAUCCUAUGGACAGAUCAACUUGAUCAUGUACCACAUUUUGUAUCAAACCAGCAUAAAAAUUAAUGAAAGAGAUAGUGGCCUUCAAUUUUCAGGAGGCUGGUGUAGUUUUUGGAAUAUCCCUGGGUUACCAUAUGCAUUUCCACACAGUGUCUA